rnacentral:rRNA from 1 species
AGAGUUUGAUCCUGGCUCAGAGCGAACGCUGGCGGCGUGCUUAACACAUGCAAGUCGAGUGCGCGUUUCCGUAGCAAUACGGAAAUGGCGCACGGCGCACGGGUGCGUAACACGUGGGUAAUCUGCCCUCUGAUGGGGAAUAACCCGCCGAAAGGCGGGCUAAUACCGCAUAACAUUCCUUGGACUCCGGUUCGAGGAUUCAAAGGCGUAAGUCGUCGGAGGUGGAGCCCGCGCACGAUUAGCUAGUUGGUAGGGUAAUGGCCUACCAAGGCUAUGAUCGUUAGCUGGUCUGAGAGGAUGGCCAGCCACACUGGAACUGAGACACGGUCCAGACUCCUACGGGAGGCAGCAGUGGGGAAUCUUGCACAAUGGGCGAAAGCCUGAUGCAGCGACGCCGCGUGGGGGAUGAAGCUUCUCGGAGUGUAAACCCCUUUCGACCGGGACGAAUACCUCGCAAGAGGGGUGACGGUACCGGUAUAAGAAGCCCCGGCUAACUACGUGCCAGCAGCCGCGGUAAGACGUAGGGGGCCAGCGUUGCUCGGAAUUACUGGGUGUAAAGGGUUCGUAGGCGGUGUGGCAAGUCGGGAGUGAAAUCUCUGGGCUCAACUCAGGGGCUGCUUCCGAAACUGCCGUGCUAGAGUGUGGGAGAGGCGCGUGGAAUUGCAGGUGUAGCGGUGAAAUGCGUAGAUAUCUGCAGGAACACCCGUGGCGAAAGCGGCGCGCUGGACCACUACUGACGCUGAGGAACGAAAGCUAGGGGAGCAAACAGGAUUAGAUACCCUGGUAGUCCUAGCCCUAAACGAUCAGGACUUGGGGUGCCACCCGUUCGGGUGUCGUCCCGGAGCUAACGCGUUAAGUCCUGCACCUGGGGAGUACGGUCGCAAGACUGAAACUCAAAGGAAUUGACGGGGGCCCGCACAGCGGUGGAACAUGUGGUUCAAUUCGACGCUACGC